rnacentral:lncRNA from 1 species
AUAUCAGUGCACUGGAUGAAUUGUAAGAUUUGUUUUUAUCUUUCCUAUUGAACAGAUUCCUGCAGGUUACUUUUUUGAGCAUCUUACAGCAUCUUCGGAUCAGCCAACAAAGAAAUUUCUUUUGGACACAGCAUGUGGUCAAAUGAAGAUUCUGUUCAAAGUGACACGAAAUCAGAAAUAUUGGCUAUAUAACAGGCAAAACCCACUCGCAUGCAGAAAAAGAGGGAAUGGACCAAGACUACUGUAGAUACCAGGAUUGAUGAAGUCCAGUCCCCAGGCAACUACUUCACAUAAGAAAGUAGAUGUCCUCUUAGGAUUGCCCAGGGUACUACACAACCCCUUACAGUUUUAUCUGAAGGUUUAGGGCUUGGAGGCACCCAAGCAGCAAAGCAUA